rnacentral:rRNA from 1 species
GAUGAACGCUGGCGGCGUGCCUAAUACAUGCAAGUCGAGCGAACAGACGAGGAGCUUGCUCCUUCGACGUUAGCGGCGGACGGGUGAGUAACACGUAGGUAACCUACCUAUAAGACUGGGAUAACUUCGGGAAACCGGAGCUAAUACCGGAUAAUAUUUCGAACCGCAUGGUUCGAUAGUGAAAGAUGGCUUUGCUAUCACUUAUAGAUGGACCUGCGCCGUAUUAGCUAGUUGGUAAGGUAACGGCUUACCAAGGCAACGAUACGUAGCCGACCUGAGAGGGUGAUCGGCCACACUGGAACUGAGACACGGUCCAGACUCCUACGGGAGGCAGCAGUAGGGAAUCUUCCGCAAUGGGCGAAAACCUGACGGAGCAACGCCGCGUGAGUGAUGAAGGUCUUCGGAUCGUAAAACUCUGUUAUUAGGGAAGAACAAACGUGUAAGUAACUGUGCACGCCUUGACGGUACCUAAUCAGAAAGCCACGGCUAACUACGUG